GGUAGUGGUGGCGGCGGCGGCGGCGGCGGGGACUUGCAGCGCGUGGGCUGCACGGUACUGGAGCACCACUGCCCAGGGUGUGCACCUUGAGACGUUCCAAGGCUUGAUUUCAGUUCGGAGGUCCACAGCUGCAGGAAAAGAAACCCAGCAAGGGCCUGGUUGAGGAGCCUUCAUUGAUCUCCACUUGGCUGACAGGCGCUCUCCAGGAAUCAACUGUGGACGACAAACUGCUCCAAAGACACCUCUGGGCUCUGGACUCAAGGAAAGCUGAUGUGAUUGCUCCCUGUCUCUUCAUCUGGGUCACCUAACUGGAUGCCUCUGAUGUGUGUCCCAUUGCCGGAAUCCCUCCCUGCCUUUGACUAACAUUCCAGCCUUCCCAGGCCCUGGCAACAUCCUUGUUUCAGCAGGAAGAAGUUAUAGAAGAGAGUCCGUCGCCCCUCGUCCCCAACAGGCUGGAAUGUUAGGUCAAAAGGAUAUUCCCUGGCGUAGGGGACAAAAUGACUACCUGUACCGCCUAUUGGCAUACUAGGAAAGGUACCUGUUAAAGACCCAGAUCUAUCAACAGGCAGAUUCAUCAGCUGAAAUAGUUCUACAGAGUGACAGGGCAUGGGGUCUGCUUUAUGCAGA
rnacentral:lncRNA from 1 species